rnacentral:rRNA from 1 species
UACGUAGGGGGCAAGCGUUGUCCGGAUUUAUUGGGCGUAAAGCGCGCGUAGGCGGCCCUGUAAGUCCGUUGUGAAAGUCAAAGGCUCAACCUUUGAAAGCCGAUGGAUACUGCAGGGCUAGAGUCCGGAAGAGGCGAGUGGAAUUCCUGGUGGAGCGGUGAAAUGCGCAGAUAUCAGGAGGAACACCCGUAGCGAAGGCGGCACUCUGGGCCGGAACUGACGCUGAGGAGCGAAAGCGUGGGGAGCGAACAGG